UGAUACAGAGAUUUAAAUCACACUUCCCCUAGGUGUUUUUUUGUACCUGAUCUCUGGAACCUGCUGCUCUCCUCUCUCCUUUUUCCCUUUCUCUCCUCCUUUCUUUCUUUCCCAGGGGCCUGCUGAGAGACACUUAACUGUUUCACAGUCAAUGAUUUACACUCGGGAGUGGAGACAGACCGCCAAAGCUUUGCUGGACUGAGCCCAUCAUAACUGUACGCUGGACUGAAAAGAAGACUAUAAUACGAUAGUCUUCCUAUACUAGAGGGGAACUUCAAAGUGAACCACAACAGCAGUAGCACGAAAUGUGUGAGCAGCAGCUACAGAUUAAAAGUGGAUCCACAGAAACAUCCCAUGACCUCAUGGAAUGUUGACACGGCGCUGUCUCAAGGGGAACGUGGGCAGACGUUUUGUGGCAGCACGCAUAGGCAGACCAUGACUGUUACGUCUUGGAACACACCUCUGGAGUACCUCUCUCAGAGGUAAAUACAGGCUCGGGAGAGGCGAAGGUCGAAAUAUGCAUCCUCCAAAACAUGACCGCCAAACCACGCUUCUUAACACCUGCCCGCUUACACCAGAAGCCAACUGCACCAGUGUGUGGGUGGAAACAUCAUUCAACUGACGACUGAAGUCAGCCUGCAGGCACCCGGCACACCACAAGGAGUCACUAGAGAGCGGUGAACUAAGUCAAUUCAUAUAUAUAUAUAUUUUUAAAAGAUAUUCUCACAUAGUUUGUAGCUUAGACCUUAGACCCUAUUUCACAUCUAAGAUUGUGUUGAGACAACAUGCUCUUGAAUACAGGGUGGGCGUCAUGUUUUGGCUGAUAAAAUGUACUAAAAUGGGAAUGUUGACUUGAAUGGGAAUAUCUGUUUAAAAUUAUACUGACAAUCCUCCCUAGGAAACCUAUUGAAAUAUAGAUAACAGAACAAACAUGACCAUUGAAGUUGACAUUCAACAGUGCGUGAUAAUCUUUGUGGUAGUAAUUAGAAGUUACUAAUCAUUACCACAAAGAAUUUAGCUGGUGUACCUGGUCUGAAAGGAUAGGUCCAGUCUAUGAAUUAUAUUUCUAUGAGUUUAAUGACACCCUGUAUUCAUGAACAAGUUGACUCAACCAAUGGCGGGCACAACGCAAAAACUUCAGAUGUAAAAUAGGGUCUAAGCUACAACAUAUGCGAAUAUGAGAAAACUAAAAAUGCAUACACAGAUUAGUUAAUUGACAUUAAAGUUUACAUUUGAGACAUUUUGUAAAAAUAAAACACUGUCUUCAAUAAAUAAAAUAAUUUGACAACACUUGAUAAUCUUAUAAAUUAUAUUAAACUCAACCUUUUAUAUUUUCCAAUAAUGAAGACAAGCACUUAUGUCCUGAAUGUUUUGGCAUUCAGGUUCAAAAAGCCACAUUCUGACCACUUCUUCCAUAGAUGUUUUCCUAUGUGAAGUUUUAUUUAAAUCAAAAGUGAUGCUGUCAAAAAAGUGAUUAAAUUCUAACGAAUUUACCCAAUUUGAAGUAAGUUUACAUUCUGAAUUGAAAUGGAAUUGACCCCAACCCUGGUAAAUAACAUUACACCCUAAGAAGAGCGAUGCAACAUUUGUUUGCAGUCUUUUAAAAGUCAAAUAUACAUCUUACAAAUUAUUCAGCCUCUUAAGGUAAUAUAUUAUUUGUAUAUAUAAUUAUAACAUUUGGGGAUGAACUUACUUUAGGACACAAAGCAACUCCCUUUCAUUGAAUCAUGUGCCAAGUGCUAUCAUUCUUCCAAUCGUGUCACACAAUGGAACUGCUAAGUGUUUUCAGAACAAGACCGUAAUUAGUAGGUAUUUGCUUUCAUUGUUUUUUUCACCCUCCUAACCCCCCUUUCCUGUAAAAACUUUUUACGGGUGAACAUAAUGUCGCAAUGACUGAGUAAAUAUAUACGACUAAAAGCAAUUUGGCAUGGGGAAACUUAGAAGUCCUGUGUAAAUUUAGGAUAUACUAUUUUUUUUUUACCAUAGCCCAUAGAGGCCCUGGUCAAAUGUAGUGCACUAUAUAUAGGGACAAGGUUGCCAUUUGGGACACAUUAACACUGAUUUCACUGCUGACCUGAGACCUGUGGAAAAACAACAUCCACCGUGAUCCCAGGAUAGGAAACUAACGCUGUGAAAUUGUUUAUAGGAACAUUUCACACAACAAUUGUAAAGGAGAAUGUUUUUAUUCUCUUAACCUUAAGGCCUUUCUAUUAAAAACAUUCUACAAAACACUC